rnacentral:rRNA from 1 species
UUUUACCAUGCAGUCUAGCCCAUCCUUUACGGGAAGCCGCGAUAGCUCAUUCACAGCCCGUUACUAGAAAAUAGUUUCCUACUGGAUACUGUGGCAAUUCUAGAGCUAUACAUGCAAAAAAGCUCUGACCGCAAGGACGAGCGCAUUUAUUAGAAUAAAACCAAUCGGGUUUCGGCCCGUAAUUGGUGAAUCUGAAUAACUUUGCCAAUCGCACAGUCCUAGUACUGGCGAUGUAUCUUUCAAGUGUCUGCCUUAUCAACUUUCGAUGGUAGGUUAUACGCCUACCAUGGUAGUAACGGGUAACGGAGAAUAAGGGUUCGACUCCGGAGAGGGAGCCUGAGAAACGGCUACCACAUCCAAGGAAGGCAGCAGGCGCGCAAAUUACCCACUUCCAGAACGGAGAGGUAGUGACGAAAAAUAACGAGACAGUCCUCUUCGAGGUCUGUCAUCGGAAUGGGUACAAUCUAAAUCCUUUAACGAGGAUCUAUUGGAGGGCAAGUCUGGUGCCAGCAGCCGCGGUAAUUCCAGCUCCAAUAGCGUAUAUUAAAGUUGUUGCGGUUAAAACGCUCGUAGUUGGAUCUGCGGCCUCGGAGAACGGUCCCCCGAAAGGGUGGUCACUGUCUCUCCUAGCCUAAAUUCGAGUCGUCCCUAUGUGCUCUUUACCGAGUGCUUAGGGUGACUAGAACGUUUACUUUGAAAAAAUUAGAGUGCUUAAAGCAGGCGAAAUAGCCUGAAUAAGGUGCAUGGAAUAAUGGAAUAGGACCUCGGUUCUAUUUUGUUGGUUUUCGGAGCCCGAGGUAAUGAUUAAGAGGAACAGACGGGGGCAUUCGUAUUCCGGCGCUAGAGGUGAAAUUCUUGGACCGCCGGAAGACGGACGGCUGCGAAAGCAUUUGCCAAGAAUGUUUCAUUAAUCAAGAACGAAAGUAGAGU